AUUCCAGCUCCAAUAGCGUAUAUUAAUGUUGUUGCAGUUAAAAAGCUCGUAGUUGGAUUUCUGGAUUGAGCGGCUGGCCUUGCGCGCAAGCGUUCGUGUCGGCUUCGUUUCGGUCCAUCCUCAGGGGGACUUGCGCUGGCAUUAACGUGUCGGUGUAGGGACGCCUGUCGUUUACUGUGAACAAAUUAGAGUGUUCAAAGCAAGGUGUACUUGAAUACAUUAGCAUGGAAUAAUAAGAUAGGACUUUGGUGGUUCUUUUUGAUAUUUUGUUGGUUUGCACGCCAAAGUAAUGAUUAAUAGGAGCAGUUGGGGGUAUUCGUAUUCAAUUGUCAGAGGUGAAAUUCUUGGAUUUAUAGAAGACGAACUACUGCGAAAGCAUUUACCAAGGAUGUUUUCAUUA
rnacentral:rRNA from 1 species